AGGCUGCCGCCCUGUUUAAUUACGUGUCUGGACGGAGUUCGGCGGCCGGCCUCUCAGUUGAACCGGGUGGCCCGGCCUUGGAUAGGAAAGACCAAAAAGCUUCAGACCACAGCCCUGCCUGGAGGAUCCAAAGAUCCCGGUGUGGGCUGCUUUGCCGGGUACCGUUGAGUCCUGUGUGUUCUCUGUAAUCAUCUCUUUAACCAGGAGGAGAGGAAAAGGAAAUAGGGUCAUGAGGUUGAUGUUGUGAGACUAUUUUAUCUUUGGAAAUUCUCCAAGUUCCAAUCGAGCCCUGAUGAUGAAUGAAGAGAAGAAGCAGGACGGCUCCCCCAGGUCAGAAGAUACAGAUUAGUCAAGUUGUCCAACUGAUGUCAUCCUCAUCACGCCUGCAAUUCAUCAGCUCCAGAGAAUUUUAACUGUACUAGUUGAGUUCACAUAAUAUGCACCUGUGCCCUGUCUUGGGUUUUCUUAAUAAGUUACACUGUAGCCAUAUUUUAAAAAAUUUUGUGCCAACAUAAGUGAAUCUCAAAGCAAUGCCAUGGAAAAUUCAUUGUAUGAUCAAAAGUCAUUAAUAUGUCAAAGAGUUAUCUUUCAUGUGAAAUUUGACAGAGUUGCUAUGUUUUUCCCAAAGCAGUUUCCACCCCGCGUCCCUUAGUGGUUUUGAAAACACAAACAGAGCAAGCUGAGAGGAAGCCAAUAAAGUACGGCCUGUGGACCGAAGCCCUCCCUGCCCCUGCUCCUGGUGAGUGAAGUUUUAUGGGAACACCACCACACUCACUUCUUUGCUUUCCACGAUUGGCCCUCGCCAUGGCAGAACUUGGUAGUUUUGACAGAAACAGCACAACACCUAAGUUCUAAAGUGGCCAUUGUCUGAGUCUUCACACAAAAUGUUUGGUGACUCCUGGUUUAGAAGGUCAGUGUCAGCUCAGUCUUAC
ensembl:lncRNA